UGACUCUUUAGGACCCCAUGGACUGCAGCCCACCAGGUUCCCCUGUCCCUGGGAUUCUCCAGGGCCCCCGGUUCGAUUCCUGGUCAGGAAUCUAAACAUCCUGCAUCCUGCAAUGAAGACUAAAGACCUCUUGUGCUGCAACUAAGACCUGGCGUGGCCAAAUAAAUAAAUGU